CUUGCUGAAUGAAAUGGGAAAAACACACACAUACUUAGGGAGUGUGUGUAAGGAGAGGAAUUUCAGGAUCAAGGGAUGCAAGUGGCAGGAUAAAGUAAUCUUUUCAAGUUUUGAAGCCCCCAUAUGCCUACAGGAAUACACUGCUUAGCAAGCCAUGCCAGGCAGUUGCCCCUGGAGCCACAUCACCAUGGCUGAAAACACCACAGGAGCGAUGGCCACAGACUCUGUGCACUGCUGAGCUCUGCUGGAGAAGGAUACAGAGAGAUGAACAAGGAAUUGGUGUUAUGAAAACUCACUGGAACAUUGGAAACAUGUGGAAUAUGGGAAAGAUGAGAAUAGAGUAGCCCAUUUGGAAAGAAUUCUCAAAUGACACUUUGCUGAGCAAGAAGGCUUCUUUGAUGGGCUAAACGUUCCUGGGCAUGAGAAGGGGAGGAGGAACAGGAGAGGACAGAUGGUUCUCUGGAACAUAUGAAACAAAAAGAAAAUUCAAGAACAUCUUUGAUGGACACGUGUUACAUGGAAACAUCUUUGUGAUAUGCUUAGUUGGGGCACAAUAAUAAAUGCAAAUGGAUCGAGUGUCUUUCAUAACAUUCAGGACAAAUGCUGAAGAGCCCUGUUUAAACAGACAAACAAGCAAGAUCAAGAAACCACUGUUUAAGGUAAGUAGAAAGGACUUUUGAAUGAUUGAUCCUUUCAAUGAGUGGCUCCCUGUGGCUCCGAAUUGUUUAAUAAGAAUAUAAGAAUGAGACUCUUUCUUUUAAUAAGAAUAUAAGAAUGAGACCCCUACACAGUUUCUUCUCUGAGUGAGUCACCAAUAAUUAUGUAGGAAAGCAAGUUCAUCUCACAUUAUCUUGCUCUAUGCACAAAGCAGUCUAGAAAGAAUCCCAGACAGUAUCUACUGUAUCAUGUUUCACACCAGUCCUCAAAAUAACUCUGAAUAAAGUCAUAGAAAGAACCUGAACUGAGAAGACAGAAGUUAUUUCAAAAGCCUUUAGAUUCUGAGAAUCAGCUCUUCUGGCUUUGGUGUUUUUUGUUUUCCUCUGUGGAGCCAUUUCUAGAUGUGCCAUCUGCCCACAUAAUACAUACCGUUCAACAUUGCAGCUGCAAAGUAAAUGAGGGGCCAGGAUGAGGAGAAGAAGUUAACACCUUAAAACCAGAACCACCCUAGAAUCAAUGGUAAAUGGUUAAUGGCUAUGAUGUCUGGAGAAGUCUGUCAGGCCAGACAGAGAACUUGGGCAACAGAUACCCAAGGCUAAAGAGUAAGGACUAUCAGAAUGAACUGUAGAAAAGUAAUGGAGAACAAUUUGCAUGUACAUUUUUUUUUAAUGGGGAAGCUGUAGUAAGAGAGGGACAGUUUCUCAAAUAUGAGUGAUGGGUACAUGUAUUCUAGCCAGACAGUGAUGUUUCAGUGGGUCAUUAUUAUGAGAAAAGAAUUAGGCUGGACAAGUUUGUGUGUCUAUUACCCAUGGGAUUCACAAAAAUAGGCUCUAGAGUUCAAUUAAAUAGCUAUCCUAUGGUAAAAUACUCACUGAUGCUUUUGUUCCAUGCUUUUCUUUUUUUCUUUUAAAAGUUUUUGCCUCCCUUUGGUAGCACAGGAUAGAUCUAGGUGUCAUCACUGUUGAACAUCAGAUAUUUCAAGCUUUCUCCAUAUUAGUCCUGCAGAGUAAUGUAUGAAGGAUAGAAUCAGGAUGGUGUCUGCUUCUUUUUGCACAAAAUCCUUUUAAAUUCUAUAAAUCCUGGUCUUGAAAUACUCUCCUGUGGAAAAUACCAAGAGAAAAAAAGAAAACCCCAGGGACAAAAUAAAGGAUGAGACAAAUGAUGGUGAUUUUUAAAUUAUGUUUUUCCCCCUUUGAAAGCUACAUAUCCUCAUACUCACUGUCCACUAAAAAUAUGUUUUGGCCUUUAAAUAAGUGAGUCAGAAUGCUAUCUGGAUAUGCCCCUUCCUCACAAUCAAGCUGUAAAUAUGUUGACUUUUGAAAAAGUUAUGCAUUUUGUACGUCAUUAUGUAAAUGUGGUCAUAGUCUUAGUGUUAAACAGACCUAUUUUCAGAAAAGACUUUCUAAAAUUCCUCCGCAAAAUUUAGCAAAUAAUUACCAAACAGUUUUGUCCCUCUAAAUACCUAUCUAAACAUUGAAACCCUUAAAUUUUCUGGUACAUGUAUGAGGCCUAAUACAAUCAAAUUUAUUUACUGCUCUUCCCUCUCCCCAUCUCAGAGAACAGAAAGCAAAAACACACAAAAAGAUUCCACUGAGACAAGAAUUACAUUCUUCCUCUAAUGACAGUUUGAGCAUGAUCUUUUGAAAUUGUGGUUUUGUUACUGAGUUUAAGCUUGUAUUGCUCCCCAGUGUGACAAGUCAAUAAAUCAAGAAACAAAUUAUUAGGGCAAGGAAUAGCCACCUUAUUUGGAAAGCCAGCAGAUUGAAGAGAUGUUGGACUAGUGUCUCAACCAUUUUUAUCUGAGUUAGAAUUAGGAAGCUUUUAUUACUAAAAGGUGAGGAGCAUGGCUGGUUGUUGUAAACUUCUGAAUACUGGAAUUCUUGUGGUCUUGCAACUGUCUAUACAUAUCUGGACACGGUGUUCUUAUAGAUAAGACAAUUGUUAUUUUCUGUUUUGCAACUUCUUAUUUCUAUGUGAAUGGAAAAUUGUGAUUCCUUGAAAGGUCAGAGCCUUGAGAAUGGUCUAUCAUUUAUAUUUCAGGCUGUAGGAAACAUUCUUUUACAAAGAGUCAGGGCCACUAUGGCCAAGUGAAGAUAGCCAAGCUCUUGCAAAGGUGGAAACCACGGGAAUGGGUCCAAUAUGGAGUCAGGUUUGUUCUUCUCUGUUACAGUUUUGCUGUAACAAGUGUUAUUGGAUCUUGGGUUAGUGAAUAUUAGAGAACAGGAAUAAGGAUAAGGUGUUCAGUAGUCCAUCCUCCACACCUUCCAUACUUGGCCACAUUGAGAAAACUCAUUGGUCAUGACUGUAAAGUAGUAUAGCAUUAGGUUUCACAAACUUGAAGAAUAUGGUGGAUAAAAAAGAAUCAUGUAUCUUUUCCAAUUCUGUCUCUUACUAGCCUUGUGACUUAGAGUUUAAGUUUCCUAAUCUACUAAUGAGAGAUAACCUUUUUUUCUCUGAAAAGUUUUUUUUUUUUUUGAAAAUUAAGGAUUCAAAGCAUUUAAACAUACUUACUCUAGAGCCUGGGACAGCCUAACUAACUGGUUAGUAGCUGUUGUUUAACUUUAUGUCCAGACAAAAAUUUAAUAUCCCUGUCCAAUAUGGUUAGUCUUUAAAACAAUUUUGUUUCAUUUUACAAGUGGAAAAAUAAUGUUACAGGAAAAUUGAUAGUUAGAAAAUUAUUCAAAUAGCUCCCUAUUAUUUAUUCCAUGACACGUAAAAAAAUUUAGAGUAUUUUUUCCAGCAUUUAUUCAUUAUCACAUAAUGUUCCAUUUUUUUUCUUGGUAAUCAUUCUGUACACACAGCUGGCAUACUCUUUUACAUACUGUUUUCUGUAUUGUUUCAUAACCAUGAAAUUUUGACAUCCACAGAAAGCUUCAUAUCACAAAAACACAUUUAAUAUUUAAAAUGUUUUCUUUUUGAAAUUUCAAAAAUUUACUUAAAACAAAUGUACUUGUAACAACUACCCUUAUGUAUCGAGUAAAAUGAGUUUAUUGAUUAGUAUAUCACAUCCUUGCUACAGAGCUUUUUAGUUUAUCUUUUCAGUGUAAAGCAAUUAAAGUUAUGUAGAGUUAAAAAUGUAUUAUGUUUGGAAUAUCUUGCAGAUAAAAUAAAUACCGAACAGAUAGCACAAAGCCCUGCAUAAACUAACGAAUGCAUUGUAUAUGGCAAUGAUGGACUUAAGCUGGAGGUAAAUUACUCAUCCUGCCUGAUUAUCUGAAAACAUUAACCAAGCAAAAGUAGUUGCUGAUAACAUACAAUAUAUUUUCCAGCAGAUUUUUGUCCUUGAUAAGAGAUUUUGAUAAAUCUGUUUAUCAAAGACAAUUUUAUUUCUCUUCCCAUUCUUUUUAAAACACUAUCUAUGCAAGGAAUUCUUCAUCUAAGAUCCAUGGGCCAUGAUGGGAAUGGGGGUUAUGGAUGGAUACUGCUUAAAAUCGUGUCCAAAUCUAGGAUUUAUACCCGUGUGUUUUGGUCUCAGGAGAAUGACUGGACUUCAUAGGAUCUAGUGCUGAAUUUGGUGGUAUCUCACUUUACUUACAGCUGUAAAGUAAUGCACUCUAGAAUGAUCUGUAGGUUCUUUCUUGUGUUUGGAAGUGUGUGUGUGCAUGCUAAGUCUAGCCCUACCCUUCCUUUCUUAUCAGUAGGAAAGGAACUAGAGGGAUGUGGAGUGGGCUGUUGGAAAACAAACAAGAAAACCCCAAACCAGUGUCUUCCUCAGUGGCAGAAUGUCCAGGGCACAUGCUGUUCUUCACUUUUAUCUUCCUCGUAUUAAAACAAAAAUACAUAUGUUUCUCUUUGGAGGGACUCACAGCUUCCGAAAAUGAAGGGAAUGUGCCUAGUUAGCCAACAUCACCUUCUCUUCUCUAAAUAUGCAAAAAGUUGAAUCUCAAAUCUACACAUUGUAAACACUCCUUUCUUCUACUUAUUUUUAUGUUUUUAUUUUUCCAUUAUAGUUGAUUCUACAUUGUUUUGUCAGUUUCUGCUAUAUAGCAAAGUGACCCAGUCAUAUAUAUAUAUAUAUGCAUAUAUGCAUAUAUGCAUAUAUACAUAUAUGCAUAUACAUUCACACAUAUAUACAUCCAUAUAUAUAUAUACAUUCACACAACACACACAUAUAUAUACACAUUUCUUUUUCUCACAUUAUCCUCCAUCAUGUUUUAUCACAAGUGGCUAGAUAUAGUUCCUAGUGCUACACAACAGGAUCUCAUUGCUUAUUUACUCCCAAUGCAAUAGUUUACAUCUACUAACCCCUAACUCUCAGUCCAUCUCAUUCCCUCCCCCUUGGCAACCCCAAAUCUGUUCUCUAAGUCCAUGAGUUUAUUUCUCCUCUGUAGAUAGGUUCAUUUGUCCUGUAUAUUAAAUUCCAGAUAUAAGCAAUAUCAUAUGGUAUUUGUCUUUAUCCUUCUGACUUACUUCACUUAGUAUGAGAGUCAUCCGUGUUGCUACAAAUGGCAUUAUUUUGUUCUUUUUAUGGCUGAGUAGUAUUCCAUUGUGUAUAUAUACCACAUCUUCUUAAUCCAUUCAUCUGUCAAUGGACAUUUAAGUUGUUUCUAUGUCUUGUCUAUUGUGAAUCAUGCUCCAGUGAACAUAGGGGUGCAAGUAUCUUUUCCAGUGAAAGUUUUAUCCAAUUAUAUGCCCAAGAGUAGGAUUGCUGGGUCAUUUGGUAGUUCUAUAUUUAGUUUUCUGGGGUACCUCCAUACUGUUUUCCAUAGUGGUUGUACCAAUUUACAUUCCCACCAGUAGUGCAGGAGGGUGCUCUUUUCUCCACACCCUCUCCAGCAUUUGCUAUUUGUUGACUUGUUAAUGACGACCAUUCUGACUUUUGUGAGGUGGCACCUUGGGAAAAUAGGACAUCUGCAUGUUAAUCAAUGAAACUAGAACACAGCCUCACACCAUACAGAAAAAUAAAUUCAAAAUAGCAUAACAACUUAAACAUAGGACAAGACACAUAAAACUCCUAGAAGAGAACAUAGGCAAAACAUUCUCUGACAUCAACCAGAGAACACAGGCAAAACAUUCUCUGACAUCAACCAUACAAAUAUUUUCUUAGGUCAGUCUCCCAAGGCAACAGAACUGAAAACAAACAAAAAAUCAUUGAGACCUAAUCAGUCUUCUACUUUUUGAAAUAAUAAUAUCUGUGCAUCUAUCUAUGAUUUCAUUUUUGUCUUUUCCAUUUCACAACAUUAAAAAUGUUUAAAUUGCUGAGUAUAUAAGGCUAUUUUCUAAAAUUCAAAGAAUUUGUCCUAUAUUUAUUGAACAUACAAUCAACCAGGAAACAUUAAUUUUUAUUUUAGCACUGAGUUAAGAUUAGCAAAUUGUAGAGGCUUCUACUUUCUUUUUUUAAAUUUAUAUAUUACUCAAUGAAUUUAUUACAUCUAUAGUUGUACAAUGAUCAUCACAAUCCAGUUUUCCAUCCGACAACCACAGUGCUUCCCCCCCAGUGCUUCUCCCCAGUGCUUUCCAUCCCACACCCCGAGUGUUUCCCUCAACCUCUCUCUUUUGGAAACCAUAAGGUUUUCAAAGUCUGUGAGUCAGUAUCUGUUCUGCAAAGUUAAUUGUGGCCUUUUUUCAGAUUCCAUAUGUCAGUAAAGGCUUUUAAUGUUGGUGUCUCAUUGUCUGACUUCACUAUCACUAGCAUGAUAAUUUCUCUGUCCAUCAUGUUGCUAAAAAUGCCAUUAUUUCAUUUCUUUUGAUGGCUGAGUAAUAUUCCAUUGUGUAUAUGUACCACAUCUUUAUCCAAUCCUCUGUUGAUGGAUAUUUAGGUUGUUUCCAUGUCUUGGCUAUUGAAAAUAGUGCUGCAAUGAACAUUGGAGUACAUGUGUUUUUUCGAGUCAUGGUUUUCUCUGGAUAGAUGCCCAGGAGUGGGAUGGCUGGAUCAAAUGGUAGUUCCAUGUUUAGUUUUCUGAGGAAUCGCCAUACUGUUUUCCACAGCAGUUGCCCCAAUUGACAAUCCCACCAACAGUGUAAUAGGGUUCCUUUUUCUUCACACCCUCUAUAGCACUUAUUGUUUGUAGACUUUUUGAUGAUGGCCAUUCUGGCUUGGUGGAAGGUGGUACCUCAUCAUGGUUUUGAUUUGCAUUUCUCUAAUAAUGAGUGAUGUUGAACAUCUUGUCAUGUGUGUUUUGGCCAUCUGUAUGUCUUCUUUGGAGAACUGUCUGUUUAGAUCUUCUGCCCAUUUUUUGAUGGGGUUGUUUGUUUUUUUGGUAUUGAGCUGUAGGAGGUGUUCAUAAAUUUUUGAGAUUAUUCCCUUGUCAGUCGAUUCAUUUGCAAAUAUCUUCUCCCUUCUGUGGGUUGUCUUUUUGCACACACCUACAGUCAACUAAUCUAUGACCAAGGAGCAAGAAUAUACAAUGGAGAAAAGACAGCCUGUUCAAUAAGCGGUGCUUGGAAAACUGGACAGCCACAUGGAAAAGAAUGAAAUUAUAACACUCCCUAACACCAUACACAAACAUAAAUUCAAAAUGGAUUAAAGACCUAGAUAUAAGACCAGAUACUAUAAAACUCUUAGAGGAAAACAUAGGCCAAACGCUCUCUGACAUAAAUGACAACAACAUCUUCUCAGGUCCACCUAUUAGAGUAAUGACGGUAAAAACAUAAAUAAAUGGGACUUAAUUAAACUUAAAAGUUUCUUCACAGCAAAGGAAACCCUAAACAAAAUGAAAAGACAAUCUAUUUUAUUUCUUUAUUUUUUUAGGUCCUCACCCAUGGCAUAUGGAGGUUCCCAGGCUAGGGAUCCAGUCAAAGCUGUAGCCACCAGUCUACACCAGAGCCACAGCCACUGGGGAUCUGAGCCAUGUCUGUAAUCUACACCACAGCUCACAGCAAUGCCAGAUCCUUAAGCCACUGAGCAAGGCCAAGGAUCAAACCCACAUCCUCAUGGUUGCUAGUUGGGUUUGUUAACUACUGAGAGGCUUCUAUUUUCAAUGUUAUUUUAUUUACAGGGGAGGAAGCCCAGAGAUACUAGGUAACUUGCCAGAAACCUCAAAGCCAGUACCUGGUAAAACAGAGUUACUCCAGGUUUUUCUGAUUCUUAUGCCUUGACUCUUUCCAAAUUUUACCUUUUCCUUGAACAUACUAAAGAUUCUUUUAAGAUCACAUGGCAGAAAGUGCAUAUGCUGGUGUACCAAGGAAAUAAAAUGGGCAAAGCCUGAGGUGGUUAAACUGGUCUCAGUCAGGGCUGGAAACACACCACUGAGCAUAAGCCACCUUGGUCAAUUCAAUGUUGGUGUGUUGGGAAAAGCAAUUGUCUUAAAAGUCUACAAAGUAAUGCUUUAUUUACCUGAUCCAGGGCCUCUGAGUUAUGCAAAAGAAUACUCUAUAAAAGAAUCACAUCAUUGGUAUUUGAGAUGUGUUUAUUAUCUUGGCAAAUAGAUCUACUUAGAUACAAGGUUUGCUCUUCAAACUUGGACCUAGCCACACUUUGAUUUAUCUAAAAUAUCCCUCCAAAGUGAGAACUCAUUCACUCUUAAUGAUUCUCCUAUAAAUUUGUUUAUGGGUGAUUUCAGCUAUGAGGUGUCAACUGGGACACAGAUUUAAUGAACAUGGGUAGGGUAAAUCUUCCAUUACAGAGGACAAAUGAGGCAUUUUGUUCAAGACAAUUUACUAAGUAUGUCCUAUAUAAUGAGAUCUGCAUUGUAACAAAGCGAGCAUGUGUCUCCUGUUUGGUUUAGAAAAGAGCUGUAUCAGAGUUGGUGGCUGACCAUAGCAGCUUUUACAGUGGUGCUGUUGGUGUUGUAACUUGACAAGCUUUCAGAAUAGACUGGCACCAGACUCACUUUUGUCAAUGCUAAAUUAAGGGUUCUUCAUAACUGGAAAGCAAUCACUUAUGUAAGCCAGCAUACAGAUCUAAGAGUGGCGGGGGGUGGGGAACUGCUGUAAUAACAAUGAUAAACACAAGGAGCUGCAAAAGGACAAACAUUAAUAUGUUAAAAAAGGACUUCAAAAUCCUAGAAUGUGGGGAAGGAAAGUAAAAUCUAAAUUCUUUUUUUUUUUUAAUAAUGUGUUUGAGACUUACGACUAUCAGGCUAAAGCAAGCAGAUACAGGAAGGGGUUAACAUACUUAAAAAACAGGGCAGCCACAAAUCAAAACCAAAUAUUACAUUCACAAAAACUAGAAAGAAAAGUACACAAGCAUAAAAUAAAUAG
rnacentral:lncRNA from 9 species